UCUGUUUAAUAGUUGUUGUUAUGUAAUCGUUCGUUACACAUAUGUAGAUUGAAUUCUUAACCGGACAGAGACUUUUUUUUCUUCAGUUACUUAACAUUGUCAGGAUGUACGGGACAUUCUUUUGGACACUGGCGGCGCUUUUUGCCUUUUCACAGGCACUGGUUUGAAAGGUCUGCCGAGUGGAGUCAGAGUGUGACCCGGGCGAGUGCUGUCAGAUUCUGAGUGAGUUUAUGGUGAUGAGUAAGAGGCAGGAGGUCUUGCUGAAUACCAUAGCACCACUUACCAAGACAGGUACUUGCCAGAAGUACAAGGUAGAGGGGGACCCCUGUGGACACUUUGAAAAGAUCAAUGGCUAUUGCAGCUGCGCCCCUGGCACCUACUGUCACUCUUAUGAGAUUCCUGUACCUACAAUGGCGGCAAGGUCGAUGA